CCGGCGACCGGCGCACGGGUGAGUAACGCGUAUGCAACCUGCCCUCUUCAGGGGGACAACCUUCCGAAAGGGAGGCUAAUCCCGCGUAUAUCGGUUUCGGGCAUCCGAGAUCGAGGAAAGAUUCAUCGGAAGAGGAUGGGCAUGCGGCGCAUUAGCUAGACGGCGGGGUAACGGCCCACCGUGGCGACGAUGCGUAGGGGUUCUGAGAGGAAGGUCCCCCACACUGGUACUGAGACACGGACCAGACUCCUACGGGAGGCAGCAG
rnacentral:rRNA from 1 species